rnacentral:rRNA from 1 species
CUACGGGCGGCACCAGUCGAGGAAAUUUUACAAUGCUCGCAAGAGUGAUAAAAUAAGCCAGAGUGUUUCUCCUAGAGAAACUUUUAUUUGCUGUAAAAAGGCAAAGGAAUAAGGACUGGGCAAGACCGGUGCCAGCCGCCGCGGUAAUACCGGCGGUCCAAGUCGCAUCCACAUUUAUUGAGUCUAAAACAUUCGUAGCUUGUUUUAUAAGUCUCUUGUGAAAUCCUAUAUCUCAAGUAUAGGGCGUGCAAGAGAUACUAUAUUACUAGAGACUGGAAGACGCAAAGAGUAUGGUUGAGGUAGCGGUAAAAUGUGUUAAUCUCAAUUAGACUAACAAUGGCGAAGGCACUUUGCGAGUACAGAUCUGACAGUGAGGGAUGAAGGCUAGGGGCGCAAAAGGGAUUAGAUACCCGUGUAGUC